AGGGUUCGAUUAUGGCUCAGGACGAACGCUGGCGGCGUGCCUAACACAUGCAAGUCGAACGGAGUCUUUUUGUUUCACCGAGCACCCAAGGGGAUGGGUGUUAGGGGAAACGAAAAGACUUAGUGGCGGACGGGUGAGUAACGCGUGAGCAACCUGCCUUCUUGAGGGGGAUAACGCCUGGAAACGGGCGCUAAUACCGCAUAACAUCUUUCCUAUGCAUGUAGGAGAGAUCAAAGGAGCAAUCCGCAGGAAGAUGGGCUCGCGUCCGAUUAGCCAGUUGGCGGGGUAACGGCCCACCAAAGCGACGAUCGGUAGCCGGACUGAGAGGUUGAACGGCCACAUUGGGACUGAGACACGGCCCAG
rnacentral:rRNA from 1 species